rnacentral:rRNA from 1 species
UUUCGCAAUGCCCGAAAGGGUGACGAAGCGACGCCGCGUGAGUGAGGAAGGCCUUCGGGUUGUAAAGCUCUGUCAGGAGUUAAGAAAUAUAAGUGUGUUAAUACCACAUUUAUUUGACGAAGGCUCCAAAGGAAGCCACGGCUAACUCUGUGCCAGCAGCCGCGGUAAUACAGAGGUGGCAAGCGUUGUUCGGAAUUAUUGGGCGUAAAGAGCACGUAGGUGGGUUUGUAAGUCAGAUGUGAAAGCCUUCUGUUCGACGGAAGAAUUGCAUCUGAAACUGCGAGUCUUGAGUGUAGGAGGGGAGAAUGGAACUUCUGGUGGAGCGGUGAAAUGCGUAGAUAUCAGAAGGAACGCCGGCGGUGAAAGCGAUUCUCUGGCCUAUUACUGACACUCAGUGUGCGAAAGCUAGGGGAGCAAACGGGAUUAGAUACCCCGGUAGUCAUAGCUGUAAACGAUGGGCACUAAGUAGAGGGGUUUUA